UAUUAUUCUAUGAAGAGAAUAGUAACAUAAGUUAGGUGAUAGAGAGUCAGUGGAAGGUGUAAACUGAUACCAAUGCUUUUGUGAAUCCACCUUGGAGAAUUAUUAUGAUGAAUAAUACGGAAAAACCGUUAUUUUAAUGAGAGAGUUAUAUUAUAUAUAACUAAUAAGGGUGGCAACGCGAACCAAUCGUCCCUAUG
rnacentral:ncRNA from 1 species